rnacentral:misc_RNA from 1 species
UCUCCGUAGGUGAACCUGCGGAGGGAUCAUUACAGAGUUCGUGCCCUCACGGGUAGAUCUCCCACCCUGUGUUAUUAUACCUUUGUUGUUUUGGCGGGCCGCCCGCGGCUAACGGACCGGGCGGGUACGCGCCCGCCAGAGGAUCCCAAACACUGAAUGUUAGUGUCGUCUGAGAACUAUACAAAAGUUAAAACUUUCAACAACGGAUCUCUUGGUUCUG